GGUCUCAUAGCUCAGUGGGUAGAACAAUGGUCUUGUAAAUCUUAGGUCGUGAGUUCAAUUCUCACUGUGACCU